rnacentral:rRNA from 1 species
UACGGAGGGUGCGAGCGUUGUCCGGAAUCACUGGGCGUAAAGGGCGCGUAGGCGGCUCAUGAAGGCUGUGGUGAAAGUCCGGGGCUCAACCUCGGAUCGGCCGUGGCGACUCGUGGGCUGGAGCACUGUAGGGGCGGGUGGAAUUCCGGGUGUAGCGGUGGAAUGCGUAGAUAUCGGGAGGAACAUCAGUGGCGAAGGCGACACCCUGGACUCAUACUGACACUGAGGUGCGAAAGCGUGGGGAGCAAACAGG